GGAAUUCGAUUAACGCGAAGAACCUUACCAGCGUUUGACAUGCCAGGACGGUUUUCAGAGAUGGAUUCCUUCCCUUACGGGACCUGGACACAGGUGCUGCAUGGCUGUCGUCAGCUCGUGUCGUGAGAUGUUGGGUUAAGUCCCGCAACGAGCGCAACCCUCGUCUUUAGUUGCUACCAUUUAGUUGGGCACUCUAAAGAAACUGCCGGUGAUAAGCCGGAGGAAGGUGGGGAUGACGUCAAGUCCUCAUGGCCCUUACGCGCUGGGCUACACACGUGCUACAAUGGCGGUGACAAAGGGCAGCAAACUCGCGAGAGUGAGCAAAUCCCAAAAAGCCGUCUCAGUUCGGAUUGUUCUCUGCAACUCGAGAGCAUGAAGGCGGAAUCGCUAGUAAUCGCGGAUCAGCACGCCGCGGUGAAUACGUUCCCGGGCCUUGUCACACCGAAUCACUA
rnacentral:rRNA from 1 species